rnacentral:lncRNA from 1 species
GCCUUGUCCCAGCCACGUCCUGCCCCACAGGCUCCGCGCAGGCCCCGCCUCGCCCCACCUCUCGCCCCCAGGCCUCACCCCUAAUUCUCAGGCCCUGCGGGGUCCUGGCUCCGAGCCCCUCUGGACUCCGCCCUCCCCACUGCUCCGCCCCAGACUCCGCCCAGGGCCCCCCCGCCCCGCUUCUCGCCCGAAAGCCCCGCCCCACGGGCGCAGGCUGAGCCGCGUGGGUCCCGAGCGGCCGCGGACGUGGGCGCAGGCCUGCGGGUCGCCACCGCGCUCGGGUGUGGCACAGGGUCGGGCUCUGAGCGGCUGAGAGCCUCGCGCACAGCAGCUUCCGGAUGUGGCCGCGCAGAACCAAAAGAGAAUACGGCAUUCCUGGCCCAUAAGGAAGGAGAGUUUUCGUCUGUGAGGGAUGGUCCUGGCGCAGCAGCAGCGGCCAGAGAGUGGGGCAGAGUGUGAACCACAGCACUGAGCGAGCGGCGGGCUCUCUGUCCCCAGCCAGCAGGAUGGGCCCUGUGGGCAGACACGGCCCCUCGGCCCUGCCGGUCCCCACGGGAGGGUCGUGCCUCCUCCUCCUCUUCUGCCUGCGCCUGGGCGCCUCUUGCCCGCAGAGCUGCCAGUGCCCCGACCACGCCGGGGCCGUGGCCGUCCACUGCAGCGCGAGGGGCCUGCAGGAGAUCCCCAAAGACAUCCCCCUGGACACGGUGCUCCUGAAGCUCGAUGCCAACAAGAUCGCCCGCAUCCCCAACGGAGCCUUCCAGCACCUGAGCCACCUGAGAGAGCUGGACCUGUCUCAGAACGCCAUCGAGACCAUCGGCCCCGCCGCCUUCUCGGGCCUGGCCGGGGGCCUGCGGCUGCUGGACCUGUCCCACAACCGCAUCCGGAGGAUUCCCAAGGACGCGCUGGGCAAGCUCAGCGCCAAGAUCCGCCUGUCCCACAACCCCCUGCACUGCGAGUGCGCCCUGCAGGAGGCCCUGUGGGAGCUGAAGCUCGACCCCGACUCGGUGGACGAGAUCGCCUGCCACACCUCCGUGCAGGAGGAGUACGUGGGGAAGCCGCUGAUCCAGGCGCUCGACGCCGGCGUCAGCUUCUGCAGCGUCCACCACAAGACCACCGACGUGGCCAUGCUGGUCACCAUGUUUGGCUGGUUCGCCAUGGUGAUCACCUACGUGGUGUACUACGUGCGCCAGAACCAGGAGGACGCCAGGAGGCACCUGGAGUACCUGAAGUCCCUGCCCAGCACCCCUGUGUCCAAGGACCCCGUCAGCCCUGCCCCCUAGUGCCUGCCGGCUCAGGCGGGCUGCGGCCCACGUCUCGGCCGCCCCUGCUGUAGCCCACGGCGACUGAGUCUCGCUUGGCCGCCCCCCCCCAGCGAGGUGGUGACGGGGCCUCUUCCGGGCGGUGCUUCACUCUUACAGGGCACGUCUCCGAGGACUUCUCGUGGCUGCAGCGCCCUUCGGGUCCGGCAGCUCUGCCAUCAGAUGUGCUGACGGAGGAGGAGACCGAGGCUUAGAGACGUGGAAUGGCACGGCCAGGAAAUGAGCAGCUGGAACAGUAGACCAAGCCGUCUGUCACGAUGCUCGUGUCCCUUCCGCUCAGGGAGCCUGUCCCACGGGGCGCCCCAGGGUGGACUAGCGUUCAGAGCAGGAAGGGUGGGUGCCCUCGAGUGGGGCUGCCCCAGGAGGACGGGCGCCUGUUGUCGGUCGAAGGCACAGGUGGUCUCCACUGCAGACUGGCCGCCGUCGCCUCCCCAGCAUCUCCUGAGCACCCUCGGCCACAGGACUCCCUCCAGGGCAGACGCCGAGAGACCGGGUGUUUUCUCGGGAGGGAACUGCAACGUGCAACCUUUGGACAACUUUGUUUAUUCUCAGAAUGUUUGUUCAGAGUCACGCUUGUACCAAAACUUCAGUCCAGGGAGAAGGAAACCAACCCCACCCCCACCCCCGAAAAAACAGCCGUGGAGAGAAACGUGAGAAAGUUCCAGCAGGGCUCAUCAAGGGGGCAGUGCCAGCAGCCAGACAUGCGAGGCCCUGCCCCGGUUCCGGCCUCUCAGGCUGCGCCCCGCUCCCGGGAGCCCGUUGUCACGGGUCGCUACGUGCCUUUGCUUUUCAACUCACGGAAGCAGCUCCUUUGCGAAGGACAGGGGGACCGACGCCAGACGGUACAAGGCUGCUCAGCGGAUGCUUCCUUCCUGCCUCCAGCGACAAGAACUCUCUCUCUCUCCUUUCCAGCUUUGCUGCCAGGAACCUCAGAGCUACUUUACUGCUCAUUUUCUUACCUACUUGGUGUUCAGGGUAGACCUCACCUCCGCCGGGACAACCCUGAUAGCGUCUUUCCGAUUUUAUUUUUUUAUGGUCUUUUGUAUGCGUGUUUAUAUUUUAAACGACUUCAGAUAUACUGGGGGGGAAGCAAGUUAGGGGUACGUGGCUUACGGAGCUAAGGGAUAAAGGACGGAAGCCUCCUGGAGCAGAUGCUUAGAAAGGAUGAAGGUGGAGGGAGGCUCGUACUUGGAAGAUGCCCUGUGGCUUUGCAGUGGGAAGCACACUUCCGCGCUGAUGCAGAGAUGCGGCGUGUGUAGCCUCAGGACCAGCAGCUGCAGCCAGACCCGAAAGGCACGUCCGGACAAGGUCAUGCGUUUGCAGUUAUGGUACAUUCAGGAGAAAGGACCGACAGGUUCCAGCACCCUCCCACGCCUGUGGUCCCAGGGUGCUGGUGUGCAUAGCAUGCACCGUGUGGACGGGGGCUCUGUGCUUCUCUGCCUGCCCCCCAGACCAGGGGUGAGGGGUGGGAAGCAGGGCUCAGACGGUGCACCCAGUGAGGCCGGUCCUCGGGGAAAUUGACGGCCCGCCCACCCGCCUUUCCAGUGGGAGCUAAAACCAAGCAGCCAGCCUGGGCCAAACCCAUGUGAACCAGGUAAGUGUGGCUGCUGGCUGGCCAGCGGGACACGGGCUCUGGGGGGAGCCCGCUCUGCCGCCCCAUCCCCCUGGGCGCGCACAGCAGGAAGAGCGUUUUGCCCUGUGGAUGGGACCGGGGUGGGGCGAGAGCUGACGGAGGCCUGGAGGGAGAGGGCAGGUGUCAGUGUCCCUGCUGCAGCCCUGCCCCCGGGGCCUUACCCUGCCCCCAGGGAACCCUGCCCUUGCUCUAACCCAGCAUCAGCCCAGAGCAGGGGCGCCAGCCCUCCUGCCCUUGGUGUGUGCCUUCCUGCUGGGAGGAGGAAGCGGCUUAGCACCCCGGCACACGGGAAGGGCCCUCUCCUCAUCCCGAGUCCAGAGUCGGGGCCGCCGGGACCCCCUGGCCUUUCUGGCGGAGUCUCCUGGGAGAAGGUGCCUCCCUGCAGAGACCAGGGCCCGGAAGCUCCUUUCUGCCCAUGGGAGCGCCCAACCCUGGAGCCUCCUGGGGUGCAGCCCACCCCUCCCUCCUUUUCUCCCCCCACCCCCCAGCCCCUCCUCCCCCCACCCCCGUUCCCUCUCCUUUCCCUUAAGAUGACACCCUGCCUGGGCCACCUCGUUCCCUGCCGACACCCCCAUGAGCCCUCGGGCUGACUGCCUGCCCUGGACCCAGCGCCCGGGGCCUGGCCAGAGCAGGCCUUUCACCCCGUCCAGUUCUGCCAAGGCUGGCUGGGUGCGGGCUGGCCCCACUAAAGGGACAGGUGUUGGCAGGGGUGGGCACGUGACAAAGAGGUACCUCAGUCGGGCACAGUGGGGUGAUAGCCUUUGUGGGACCCGGGAGUCCCCUGACUGUCACUACGAUCCGGGUAAGGGGCCGCAGGGAGCUACGCGCCCCUGGCCCGCUGGACGCCCCCUGCCAAGCCCCUCUAGCCAGGAGAGGUAGUGCUACCCCAGUCUGGGGGUCACGGUGGGAUGGCACUGAGAUUCCUCCUUGGGGCAGAGUGUGGUGUGGACAGACUGGCCCCAGAGCCGCCCAGCCAGGCUCCUCCACCCAUGGGAAUCGAGGGGUCUUGCUUCUAGAGGGGUCAGAGGGGAGGGGCAGUGGGGGGCUUGUGGGGCCACUGCUCUGGCUGGGCUGGGGUGAGAUUUCCUGCUCUCUCUGCCCCACCCUCAUCAUGAUGGUUCCCCUGGAAACCAGAGCCCCACCCGCCACCCUGGGAGGGGAUGCCCCCACUCAGAGCCUCCCGACACCCGCCCUUCCCCUCUGGACUCUAGGGCCCCCAGAUGCCCCCCACCCCAUCCCGCCCUCGGGUGGUCCAGCGGUGGGGGCUGAGCAGGUGUACGGACACCCAGGUCCGCCCCGGCGGCAGGCGGCAGGACGGCCUCGAGGCUGGGCUGGGAGGGAGCCGCGGCAGCUUCUCCUGGAAGAGCCCUGAUGCAGGAACCAGGGGCGCCCCCACCAUGGGGCCCCAGUCGCCCAGCCCACCUGCAGGGAGAGUGGACGAUUUUAAACUGGACGUGAGACUGGGUGUGUUUUUCUCAAUGGAAAGUUGCUGCAGGCAGGAGAUGGGGCCGAGUGGAGGGAUGAGGACGGGCUGGAGCUCCUGCGCUGGUCGCAUUCACACGGGGUCUGAGAAAUGCGUGGUGCAGAGCCCCCAUCAGACAGGGGCCACGUGGGACUGGCUGCCUUGGAUGGUCCUCCUGCAUGGUCAGCAGAACGCUGGGCCUCUGCAUAGGCUGGGCAGGAGCAUAGAGCCGGCCUCCUGGGCACUCUGGGCAGCAGAGGGGGCGGGCUCCCGGGUGGGCGCUGUGUGCCGCCUGCCCCUGCUGGCCUGCCCUCCUGCGCACCCCCAGCACUCCCCGGCUCCUGGCUCCGGAGCAGCAACUUCUCCAAGUGUCUGCGGGAGACAUGGAUCCUGGGGAUGGGGGGGGAGGUAGGCUGCAGACCGCGCUGGGAGCGGAAUGUUCUGGACUGGUGGCUCCCAGCCACGGCAGGAACCUGGGGAGUUUUCUGGAGUCGUUUUUCCUGAAAGCUUAUCCUGAAACCUGAUUCCACUGUUCCCCUCACCGUCUGAACCCUUAAUAAACCUCUGUGC